rnacentral:lncRNA from 1 species
CUGACUUCUCUUCCUUCUCCGUGUCAGCUGACUUCUCUUCCUUCUCCGUGUCAGCUGACUUCUCUGCCUUCUCUGUGUCAGCUGACUUCUCUUCCUUCUCCAUGUCAGCUGACUUCUCUGCCUUCUCUGUGUCAGCUGACUUCUCUGCCUUCUCUGUGUCAACUGACUUCACCUCCUUCUGCGUGCCAGCUGACUUCACCUCCUUCUCCAUGUCAGCUGACUUCUCUUCCUUCUCCGUGUCAGCUGACGUCUCUUCCUUUUCCGUGUCAGCUGACUUCUCUUCUUUCAGCUGACUUAUCCUCCUUCUCCGUGUCAACUGACUUAUCUUCCUUCUCACUCUCAGCUGACUUCUCUUCCUUUUCCAUGUCAGCUGACUUCUCUGCCUUCUCCGUAUCAGCUGACUUCUCUUCCUUUUCCAUGUCAGCUGACUGUUCUUCUUCUCCAUGUCAGCUGACUUAUCUUCCUUCUUCCUGUCAGCUGACUUCUCUUCUUCUCCAUGUCAGCUGACUUCUCUUCCUUCUUCCUGUCAGCUGACUUCUCUUCCUUCUCAGUGUCAGCUGACUUCUCUUCCUUCUCCGUGUCAGCUGUCUUCUCUUCCUUUUCCAUGUCAGCUGACUUCUCUUCUUCUCCGUGUCAGCUGACUUCUCUUCCUUCUCCAUGUCAGCUGACUC